AUUGAACGCUGGCGGCAGGCCUAACACAUGCAAGUCGAGCGGUAGAGAGAAGCUUGCUUCUCUUGAGAGCGGCGGACGGGUGAGUAAUGCCUAGGAAUCUGCCUGGUAGUGGGGGAUAACGUUCGGAAACGGACGCUAAUACCGCAUACGUCCUACGGGAGAAAGCAGGGGAUCUUCGGGCCUUGCGCUAUCAGAUGAGCCUAGGUCGGAUUAGCUAGUUGGUGAGGUAAUGGCUCACCAAGGCGACGAUCCGUAACUGGUCUGAGAGGAUGAUCAGUCACACUGGAACUGAGACACGGUCCAGACUCCUACGGGAGGCAGCAGUGGGGAAUAUUGGACAAUGGGCGAAAGCCUGAUCCAGCCAUGCCGCGUGUGUGAAGAAGGUCUUCGGAUUGUAAAGCACUUUAAGUUGGGAGGAAGGGCAGUUACCUAAUACGUGAUUGUUUUGACGUUACCGACAGAAUAAGCACCGACUAACUCUGUGCCAGCCGCCGCCGUAA
rnacentral:rRNA from 1 species